rnacentral:rRNA from 1 species
AGUGAACGCUGGCGGUAGGCCUAACACAUGCAAGUCGAACGGCAGCACAGUAAGAGCUUGCUCUUACGGGUGGCGGGUGGCGGACGGGUGAGGAAUACAUCGGAAUCUACUUUUUCGUGGGGGAUAACGUAGGGAAACUUACGCUAAUACCGCAUACGACCUACGGGUGAAAGCAGGGGAUCUUCGGACCUUGCGCGAUUGAAUGAGCCGAUGUUGGAUUAGCUAGUUGGCGGGGUAAAGGCCCACCAAGGCGACGAUCCGUAGCUGGUCUGAGAGGAUGAUCAGCCACACUGGAACUGAGACACGGUCCAGACUCCUACGGGAGGCAGCAGUGGGGAAUAUUGGACAAUGGGCGCAAGCCUGAUCCAGCCAUACCGCGUGGGUGAAGAAGGCCUUCGGGUUGUAAAGCCCUUUUGUUGGGAAAGAAAAGCAGCAGGUUAAUACCCCGCUGUUCUGACGGUACCCAAAGAAUAAGCACCGGCUAACUUCGUG